AUGGUAUGUAUUGAAUGUAUUAAAAUUGUCAUGAUGAGACCCAGGCCCUCUACACCACUUGGGAACCCCAGGCCCUCUACACCACUUGGGAACCCCAGGCCCUCUACACCACUUGGGAACCCCAGGCCCUCUACACCACUUGGGAACCCCAGGCCCUCUACACCACUUGGGAACCCCAGGCCCUCUACACCACUUGGGAACCCCAGUGCCCUCUACACCACUUGGGAACCCCAGUGCCCUCUACACCACUUGGGAACCCCAGUGCCCUCUACACCACUUGGGAACCCCAGGCCCUCUACACCACUUGGGAACCCCAGUGCCCUCUACAUCUCUUGGGUACCCCAGUGCCCUCUACACCACUUGGGAACCCCAGGCCCUCUACACCACUUGGGAACCCCAGUGCCCUCUACACCACUUGGGAACCCCAGUGCCCUCUACAUCUCUUGGGAACCCCAGUGCCCUCUACAUCUCUUGGGAACCCCAGUGCCCUCUACACCACUUGGGAACCCCAGUGCCCUCUACAUCUCUUGGGAACCCCAGUGCCCUCUACACCACUUGGGAACCCCAGUGCCCUCUACAUCUCUUCGGAACCCCAGUGCCCUCUACAUCUCUUGGGAACCCCAGUGCCCUCUACACCACUUGGGAACCCCAGGCCCUCUACACCACUUGGGAACCCCAGUGCCCUCUACACCACUUGGGAACCCCAGUGCCCUCUACACCACUUGGGAACCCCAGUGCCCUCUACAUCUCUUGGGUACCCCAGUGCCCUCUACACCACUUGGGAACCCCAGGCCCUCUACACCACUUGGGAACCCCAGUGCCCUCUACACCACUUGGGAACCCCAGUGCCCUCUACAUCUCUUGGGAACCCCAGUGCCCUCUACAUCUCUUGGGAACCCCAGUGCCCUCUACACCACUUGGGAACCCCAGUGCCCUCUACAUCUCUUGGAAACCCCAGUGCCCUCUACACCACUUGGGAACCCCAGGCCCUCUACACCACUUGGGAACCCCAGUCUCUCUACACCACUUGGGAACCCCAGGCCCUCUACACCACUUGGGAACCCCAGUCUCUCUACACCACUUGGGAACCCCAGUCUCUCUUCACCACCCAGUGAAGCCGGUGACAUUGUUCAACGCACUUAG
rnacentral:lncRNA from 1 species